rnacentral:rRNA from 1 species
AGGGAAUCUUCGGCAAUGGACGGAAGUCUGACCGAGCAACGCCGCGUGAGUGAAGAAGGUUUUCGGAUCGUAAAGCUCUGUUGUAAGAGAAGAACGAGUGUGAGAGUGGAAAGUUCACACUGUGACGGUAUCUUACCAGAAAGGGACGGCUAACUACGUGCCAGCAGCCGCGGUAAUACGUAGGUCCCGAGCGUUAUCCGGAUUUAUUGGGCGUAAAGCGAGCGCAGGCGGUUAGAUAAGUCUGAAGUUAAAGGCUGUGGCUUAACCAUAGUACGCUUUGGAAACUGUUUAACUUGAGUGCAGAAGGGGAGAGUGGAAUUCCAUGUGUAGCGGUGAAAUGCGUAGAUAUAUGGAGGAACACCGGUGGCGAAAGCGGCUCUCUGGUCUGUGACUGACGCUGAGGCUCGAAAGCGUGGGGAGCAAACAGGAUUAGAUACCCUGGUAGUCCACGCCGUAAACGAUGAGUGCUAGGUGUUGGGUCCUUUCCGGGACUCAGUGCCGCAGCUAACGCAUUAAGCACUCCGCCUGGGGAGUACGACCGCAAGGUUG